rnacentral:rRNA from 1 species
GACGAACGCUGGCGGCGUGCUUAACACAUGCAAGUCGAACGGAAAGGCCCUGCUUGCAGGGUACUCGAGUGGCGAACGGGUGAGUAACACGUGGGUGAUCUGCCCUGCACUUCGGGAUAAGCCUGGGAAACUGGGUCUAAUACCGGAUAGGAGCCAUUUUUAGUGUGAUGGUUGGAAAGUUUUUUCGGUGUAGGAUGAGCUCGCGGCCUAUCAGCUUGUUGGUGGGGUAAUGGCCUACCAAGGCGGCGACGGGUAGCCGGCCUGAGAGGGUGGACGGCCACAUUGGGACUGAGAUACGGCCCAGACUCCUACGGGAGGCAGCAGUGGGGAAUAUUGCACAAUGGGCGCCAGCCUGAUGCAGCGACGCCGCGUGGGGGAUGACGGCCUUCGGGUUGUAAACUCCUUUCGCUAGGGACGAAGCUUUUUGUGACGGUACCUAGAGAAGAAGCACCGGCUAACUACGUG